rnacentral:rRNA from 1 species
UUGACGGGGGCCCGCACAAGCGGUGGAGCAUGUGGUUUAAUUCGAUGCAACGCGAAGAACCUUACCUACUCUUGACAUCCAUAGAACUUUCCAGAGAUGGAUUGGUGCCUUCGGGAACUAUGAGACAGGUGCUGCAUGGCUGUCGUCAGCUCGUGUUGUGAAAUGUUGGGUUAAGUCCCGCAACGAGCGCAACCCUUAUCCUUGUUUGCCAGCACUUCGGGUGGGAACUCCAGGGAGACUGCCGGUGAUAAACCGGAGGAAGGUGGGGACGACGUCAAGUCAUCAUGGCCCUUACGAGUAGGGCUACACACGUGCUACAAUGGCGCAUACAGAGGGCGGCCAACUUGCGAAAGUGAGCGAAUCCCAAAAAGUGCGUCGUAGUCCGGAUUGGAGUCUGCAACUCGACUCCAUGAAGUCGGAAUCGCUAGUAAUCGUGGAUCAGAAUGCCACGGUGAAUACGUUCCCGGGCCUUGUACACACCGCCCGUCACACCAUGGGAG